rnacentral:lncRNA from 1 species
UCUUUCCCGCUCUCCCGCAGGCUCUCUCUCUGGGGGGGCUCUUUCUCUCUGGGGAUUUUUCUCUCUUUCCCGGGUUCUCUCUGGGGGGAUCUCUCUCCUUUCUCCUUGUCCGCACCAGAAACCCUAGGCCGGAAACCCCCGAUCUCUGCCGGGAUCGGAGUUCACGAGUAGGAGAGGAAUCGAUUCGACUCCGAGAAGAACCGGCGACAGUGACGAAACACCGCACGCUCCGGAGUCUCGCCUUAAAGGAACCGCCGCUCAGAGAGCAGCUUCCCCUCCGAUCGAAUCGCGCCGCCGUCGCCGCUGUCGCCGUCGCCGCCGUCGCCGUCGCCGCCGUCGCCGUCGCCGUCCUCUCGGCGAAUCUCGGCUCCCGCCGGCCUCGGACGGUCAUCUUCAUGCCCGCGUUUCCCCGAGGUUCGCUGGCUUUUCUUGACCUCUUGUGCUGAGAUUCUUUUUGCGUGUCGAUUUUUGGUGUGAGGAGCUCUCUAGUUGAGUCGGUGCGACGUUCGGACGCUGACUUUGGCGGACUGUCAUCCUCUCUCUCUCUCUCGAUUUUUCGUGAGCUCCGAUCGGAGGUGAGGGUUUUCCUCUCUCUCUAUUCCUCUCUCUUAUUUGCUCUGUCUCGCGCAAGUUCUGUCGCUCUCUCUUAGAUCGUUCUCUCUGGCUCGAUCAUGAUCUGUAUAUGGAAAAACGCUAGGUUCUGUGUCUGGUGUUGAAGUAGAUCAGGAUUUCUGUUGUAGAACAGAACUAGUUGUGAUUGGAUUUCAUGGUCAAAAUACAAGAGUAAUGUUGCUGCGAAUGAUAGCUGUGUGAUUUUAAGUUGCUAAUUCUCCCUUUGCGUUUUGGUCAUUAAGCUGAGAUGGCUGCCAUAUGUUUGUGAAAAUGCCUGAAUGAAUAUCUACAUAGUAUCUUCAUCAGUCUAUAUGCAAAAUGUUCAUGGCUUACUUAAAUCAUGAUGCCCAUAUUGAUUUCAUCUUGUUUAAUGUUGAUCCAAUCAAUCUGAAUAAUUUCAACAUUAUGGCAUGCUUAAAACUUGUGCUCACUGGCCUCGCCGACUUCAAGUGAUAUUCGUUUCCACUUCGAAUCAGAUUGAGUUUUAGAAAGUAAUAAAUCUUUGUUCUGGUCUUGUUUUACUAAAAUUUAGGAAGUUUUCUCGAUCAAGUAGAGAUCUAUUGAUAGAUGAAACUGAUGGCUGAAGUUGGCGGAUAUAAGUAGAAAUUUGUAGAAAUAGAAACAUGAUUUGUUACUUUUGUCGACCAUUUUUAAGGUUGUAAGGUUUGCUGUGAUUCAUUUUUAGAACUAUUCUUUACCAUUAGUUAUGCAUUAUGUUCUAAUUCAUUUGUGGCUGAUUUGCAUGUGCUCAUGAUGAUCAUUUUUUCAACUAUCAAUUUGACGGCAAUUGGAAUCAACUUCUCUUAAGAAGUGGGCUUGUUUUAAUCUUUCCUAUGAUGCUGAUCUCGCAUGAUUUGUAAUGAGUUGAUGAUUAUUGAUGAUGAACUUGAAGUUGAUUGAAUUUGAUUUGCCUUGAUCUGCAAAUUCGUAUACCUGAUAUAUCACUUUCUGUUUUGGCUGAAACGAGGUGUUAGAUAAGUUUUUUUGACUUCGAGCCCUUCUAGACAUAUAAAAUACACCUCUAGAGCUUCGAUUUGAUAUGUUGCACGCCCCGAACGGACGUCGUUCAGUCAUCGAAAAACAUCUACAGAAUCUGUUGAUUCUAUAGUAGUUUUAGAUUGAUUUGCUGUUCUAAUUGAUUCUCUGUUUCGGAUAACCUUUUGUGCAAAUGACCUGAUAUGAGCUAGUUGCUGUGGUUUUCUGUGUUUGAUGCCUUCAUGAGAGCUGAAGAUGGUUCGACUAGCUUUCCAACGAGCUAUAAUACACCCUGAUCCAAUAUCAUUAGCCACAUGAAAUCUUCUUUAAAAGUUAGAAAGUAAUUUUGGAAAAUUGUUGUGUUCUGCUUUGAUGUGGAAAUUUGUAUGCCUAUUUUGACUGAUAUGCUUCGGUCCUCAAAAUGAGCUGGUAGAUGAUGUUAUUAGGAUUUAAUGUCUUCUAGAUAAUUGUAAUAGGCAUCUCAAGCUUUAAAAUGACAUAUUGCAUGCUUGAAUCAACCAUCAUUUGCCAUGUUUAACAAUUUUUUUUUUUUCUAAUCCAUUCUGAAAUCUGGAAUUUUGCCUUGGUCAGAAAUGCAUAUUCUGUUUUUGCGUGGGUUUGAUUGUCUGCCACUUUCCUAUGAUCUUUUAAGCAUAGAUUUUGAGGUUGAUGAUACAAAAAAAAGUAUAUCACGUGUGGAAUGGUCUUGCUCUAUUGUUCUCUUUUUUUUAGCAAAGUUCUGUUGUUUGAUAAUUGAUAUUAGAUAUCCACCAUCAAUCCAAUUUCUAAUACUAAUCACUUUACCUAGUAGCUUAUUUGUAUUCUACUGAUCCAAGCUCUGUGUUUUUGUUUGUAAAGAUGUCCAGAGCUAUGUUGUUCUUUAGUGUCAAUUUUUCUUUGCUUGCUGUCUUUUCUUAUUUCUGACUUCCAAGCUCCUUUUGGCUUUCUUGAAGUUGUAUAUCUUUUCAUGAUACACUCCAUUUGUGAAUAUAAGUAUGCUAUAAUUGCUGCUCUAUUCUUGUGUAGAUUGUUUUUAGCCAAUUGAUACAUCUCUGCUCUUGAAUUUUUUUAGAAAAAAUAUGCAUACUGAAUCUGAAAAAAUGUUGUCUUUUCUAUGGCUAAUUGCAAUUGAAAUUUGUCAAGCGUGACAUUCUUAGUUCCAAGUCACUUUGCAAUGUUAAUGACUUGUGUGACUUCUUUGCAUUCUGAUUUAGGGUUAAAUGUUUACCCAAACCUUUUUCGCAUUCAACCUUAUGUCAUGUGCAAGUUUCACAUUUUUGUAUAUUGUCUAGGUGAUCUUACGAACUUUUAAACAUGCCUUGUAUUUUGUCCUGUUUGUGACUUGAAUUUGCUAGAUUCAUGUUCAUGUCUGAUACCUAUGUCUGUUCGUUAUAAUAAUGAUUUCUAUGCGUUGUCUUAGUCAUAUAAGAUGAUGCAAGGGAUCUUUGUUUCUUAGAUUAGGUUUAGAUUAGGAUGAAGAUGGAGAAGGCCCCCAGGCGUAAAGAUGGUGGAGGUCGAUGUCCACUCCGACCGUUAUCAUGUAAUGCUCAUUUUUCCUGACACAUGUCUCGGGUUCCAUGUAUUGUAUAAAACCCGACGAGUUGCGGGUUUCCUUUCUUUCCCAAUUGUUAUCUCUUUUAUAUUUUUUAGAAUUGCAUGAUUAGAUUUAACUGCUUUUCUUGAUUGUUUACUUCAUGUCUUGCAAUUUCAUUUUCAUUGUUUGUUUUCCUUUCAUUUCUUAGGAAUAGAAUAUAAUGAAAGUAAUCCACCACGCAUGAUCAUU